AUUGAACGCUGGCGGCAGGCCUAACACAUGCAAGUCGAACGGUAGCACAGAGAGCUUGCUCUCGGGUGACGAGUGGCGGACGGGUGAGUAACGUCUGGGAAACUGCCCGAUGGAGGGGGAUAACUACUGGAAACGGUAGCUAAUACCGCAUAACGUCGCAAGACCAAAGUGGGGGACCUUCGGGCCUCACACCCUCGGAUGGGCCCAGAUGGGAUUAGCUAGUAGGUGGGGUAAUGGCUCACCUAGGCGACGAUCCCUAGCUGGUCUGAGAGGAUGACCAGCCACACUGGAACUGAGACACGGUCCAGACUCCUACGGGAGGCAGCAGUGGGGAAUAUUGCACAAUGGGCGCAAGCCUGAUGCAGCCAUGCCGCGUGUAUGAAGAAGGCCUUCGGGUUGUAAAGUACUUUCAGCGGGGAGGAAGGCGGUGAAGUUAAUAGCUUCACCGAUUGACGUUACCCGCAGAAGAAGCACCGGCUAACUCCGUGCCAGCCGCCGCGGUAA
rnacentral:rRNA from 1 species